rnacentral:rRNA from 1 species
GAUGAACGCUGGCGGCGUGCCUAAUACGUGCAAGUCGAGCGAACGGACGAGAAGCUUGCUUUUCUGAUGUUAGCGGCGGACGGGUGAGUAACACGUGGAUAACCUACCUAUAAGACUGGGAUAACUUCGGGAAACCGGAGCUAAUACCGGAUAAUAUUUUGAACCGCAUGGUUCAAAAGUGAAAGACGGUCUUGCUGUCACUUAUAGAUGGAUCCGCGCUGCAUUAGCUAGUUGGUAAGGUAACGGCUUACCAAGGCAACGAUGCAUAGCCGACCUGAGAGGGUGAUCGGCCACACUGGAACUGAGACACGGUCCAGACUCCUACGGGAGGCAGCAGUAGGGAAUCUUCCGCAAUGGGCGAAAGCCUGACGGAGCAACGCCGCGUGAGUGAUGAAGGUCUUCGGAUCGUAAAACUCUGUUAUUAGGGAAGAACAUAUGUGUAAGUAACUGUGCACAUCUUGACGGUACCUAAUCAGAAAGCCACGGCUAACUACGU